GCUCAGCUGGCUCAGUUGGUAGAGCAUGUGACUCUUGAUCUCAGGGUCAUGAGUUCAAGCCCCAUAUUGGGCA
rnacentral:tRNA from 1 species